GAGGAGGCAGAAGGACAGAGUGUUUUCAGAGAGAAGAGAAACCGUGGGUGGGCGCAUCUUUGAGACAAGCUGAAGACCUAGGACAAGAUGGGAGCCUUGCACAGCUGUCCUUUGAGAAGCUCCACCCAGCAAAGGGUGGAGACAGAUGUUGGGACUCACAGCCAAAUAGUGGACUGAGCACAGGGAGCCUCUGGAAGAGUGGGCAGAAGCACAGAGGGACCUGGAGGGGACAGGAGCUCCACAAGGCCAACAGAGCCAACUUACCUGGGCCCAUGGGGCUUGUGGAGACACCACAAGGUGCUUGUGGAAGUACCAGCAAAGGACAAUGCAUGGACUGGACCUAGGUCCCCUACAGAGAUGUAACCGAUGGGCAGCUUGGUCUUCCUGUGGGUUUCCUAAUAGGGAGUGGGGGCUGUCUCUGACAAGGGCACUGUUGCAUGCUUUUUGAUAAGGUCCCUCUGGCAGGGCUGCCUUGCCAGGACACAGAGGAAGAGGAUGUGCUCAGUCUUGGUGCGACUUGAAAUGCUAUGAAUUUCAAGGCAGUGGAAUAUGAUCAUCCCCUCCACACCUUACAACUCUCCGCAGAUCCUCCCAACCUCACGUCUUUGCUGCCUUUGUUUGUUGUUUUGAUAACACAAUAUUUUGUUUAUAG